GAUGAACGCUAGCGGCAGGCUUAAUACAUGCAAGUCGAGGGGCAGCGGGGGUAGCAAUACCUGCCGGCGACCGGCAAACGGGUGCGGAACACGUACACAACCUUCCUUUAAGUGGGGGAUAGCCCAGAGAAAUUUGGAUUAAUACCCCGUAAGAUUAUGAGAUGGCAUCAAUUUUAUAAUUAAAGCUCCGGCGCUUGGAGAUGGGUGUGCGGCUGAUUAGGUAGUUGGUGCGGGUAACGGCCACCAAGCCUUCGAUCAGUAACUGGUGUGAGAGCACGACCAGUCACAC
rnacentral:rRNA from 1 species